CCUCGCCGCGACUCGUUCGUCCUCUUUUGUCGGCGGCGGUGAGUAAGCUUCUGUUCGUAUUGGGUUGGGCGGGCGAAGAGGGAGGACCGGGACAGGUCUUUAAUUUGGUUUCUCCUGGGAUUCCACUAGGGCUUUCCAUUUCUUCCCAACUUCGUCGCCUAUGCUAGCGGCCCUGCUCGGGCCUUCCUGGCGCCGCGGCAGCCCCUCGGUCCGGGCUCCUGGGGCACAUGCGCGUUGCCUAGCCGCCGUUGGGGGAGGGAAGCGGUCGGCGCGAGCGGAAGCGUCAGUCGGGCAGAGGCGCGCUGGCUCCAUUUGUUCCUGGAAGCUUCUACCCGAAUAGGGAGCGGUCCUGGAUUUGCUUUCCUGGCACCCAACCCUCUGCCCGCCCAGCGCUUCUACUCGAGGGACGGGAGACAAGUGCUGGGGUCCCUCGGUGAUGAGACCUAUCACAGACCUGUACUGAUACUCUGUGAGGACAAGAGAAACUCCUGAGGGGGAGCCUGCGCCCCCAGCGCCCCGCUUCCUUUCCUUCUCAGCACCUCUAACGUCUGUUUUCUCCCGCAGGAGGCCCCGGAGCUGCCCUCCUGUCCUGGCAUUGGUUAGGGUUCGUCCAGGAGACCUUCCAGACCAGGUGAUGGAGGCUUGCUUGGAUUAUUCUCCAGCUGUCUGGGCUUCCUUUUCUUUGGAUGAGACCUGAAAGUGUUGCAGAUCUCCUUGAGCCGUGCUAUCUUCACCCUUCUCCUUAGUAAGGGGACAUGCUGGCUACUGGAACAGCUCCAGGCUGAGAAGAGGAGGGUGCUUCACAGCUUGUUUGCUUGCUGUUGACUGGCAGCUUCUUGAGAAAAGGUCCUUUUAAGAGCUGCCUGGAGGACUAGCUGUGAGACCCAGCCAUUGCUAUGUGAUUGCAGGUUCCGACUCCUGACCUGGGGUAGCAGCAAGCAGGGCUGCACUGUCUAUAGGUGAGGCCCGUGUGGCAAAGAAGCUGGAAUUAGGAACUGGCCCUGGAUCAGACUGAAGACACUACAAGGAUGUGGCAAUGAAUAUUUCUCCAAAACCUUGUUUUUUGCAAAUAAAGCUUUGUUUCUCUUGAGUCUGUUCACAUUUCUUUUGGUCACAUGGGGGUGGGACAGAUGGAUGGAGGAUUCCUUUAACUGUCCCCUGCUGUUAGCCAUUCUUGGGGGCCUCGAGAUGCCCCCAAGCUCAUUAUAUAAGUGCCCACUUGCCCUGGGAAUGCCUAGGCUGCAGUUUGAGGGGGUUCGCUCUGCUCAGAAAUCUGGAAGCCAGGCUAGUGCUUGCUAGCUUAUUUAGCUGGGAGCUGGCAGGCUUGGGGCCAGGGGAGGAGCCUUGGGGCGUGGUGACUGGAGGUCCACUGAGGUCUUGUGGAAGGACGCUUGGCUGGGCACUGACUGCUUAAGCUCUGGAGAUGAAGGCACCUCUUCCCCCUGCUGGCCCCAGCAUUCCACUAGCAAUGGCCUCACGGGUUUCUAGGAUCAGUUGAGCCGUCUCCUCCCAUGCUCCCAAGCCCUGGCCCUCCCCAGGCAGCCUGUGCACUUGGCCAUGGCCAGAGAUUGCCUGUGGCUGCUCUUGGUGCUGGUGCUGCCCGCUGGGAGCCAAGGGAUGCCAUGUUGGCAGGCCAGCAGUCCCUUCUUGCCCCCGGAGGAGGGAAAGGCGCAGCCCCCCCUGCCCGAGGUCAGCCCCUGCAUGGUGCAUUGUGCUAAGCAAGUCCUGCCCAGAUUGGGAGCGGGAGUCGUCUCAGUCCUCUUUAACCAGGCGCGGGAAGAGGAGGAGCACAAAUACUGCUGGCCACAGAGACGGCGGGAUUGCCGGCCAGGAGAGCGCCUGGCCAGGGUCUUCCUGCUGCUGCAUGUGAAUGAGCCCGCUGCGGCUCCUUACGAGCUCCUGCCCGCCACGCCGGCCCUGACUCCAGCGAGCAGAAGGCUGCGGCCCAGGAAGAGCGACCCGGCCCUGCUCAGCCUGGCGGGCUGUGGGCUCCUCUAUGACGUCACCAGGCCCUUCCGCAGUGCCAAGAGAGAGGGCCAGUUCAAGGGGGCCGAGUUCUGCGUUAAAGCCGUGUGCCCCGCCAGCCAGCCUUCCUGCCAGCCCCUUCAGAUGGCCCUGAGCUGCCCCCCUUUCCUAGCCACGCUGUGGGGCAGCCGCCCGGGCACCAGGGAGCCCUUCUCCAUUCGACAAGACCCAUCGUUCCCUGGACAGGUCUGAGCAGGCUGCUGGACGUGGCCCCCCAAGAGACUCUGCCAGCUCGAGGCAUCUGGGAGCUGGUGAGGCGUGACGUUGACCCCAAUAAAUUGGUCGUGUGUUUUCUCUGCCUUGGCUGCUCUUUCCCUCUCUGGGAGGGGAAGACGUGGGGCGGAGGGGCGGAAGCCUUAGAUCUAUGGGGACGGACAGGCCUGGGGCCCAAUCACCAGCUCAGCCAGCACCUUGUCCCUGGGGGCAGGCAGCUCAGUGGCUACGGCUCUGAGGACCCAAGAGAAGAGGACACUGCAGGCUGAGCGGGUUCACCAAGAUGUCAGUCUGGGCAUGGGAAGAGAAUGUGGCCAGUGCCGGGGAGACAGCUGAGGGGUUGAGGGAUUAGGAGUGGGGGGGCAUAGGUGGGUAGAGAGCUAGGCCUGGAGACAGGAGGUCCUGAGUUCGAGUGUGGCCUCAGACACUUCCUAGCUGGGCGACCCCCAUUGCCCAGCUCUUGCAGCUCUUUUGCCUUAGAACCAAUAUUAGUAUCAAUUCUUAAACAGAAGGUAAGGAUUAAAAAAAAAUAGAUGCAAAAUAAUCUUGAACGCAAGACAUUUAACUACUGGUGGGGCAUUAGGAAAGCUAUUUAGAAGGAGAUGUUUGAAUUAUUCCUUGAAGGAAACCAGGGAUUCUCGAAUCCUGGCGUUGCCACUUACUAGCUCUUGGAUGCUGGCUCAUCUUUGCCUUGACAGUUUCCUUGUCUGCAAACUAUGGAGAA